GAAAAACACUAAACUACAUUUUCUGAGAUUUUAACAGAGGUGUUCGUAUCGCGCAUCAUAAAAGACAAUCUUAGUGUGGCAGGGUAAGCGAUUUAACUAUCCUAUUGGCUCUGCUCGGGGUAUGGCUUCGGCAGACCAAUGGGGGGGAGCUACCCGACUAUUUAAGGACCCUUAUUUUGGUAGGCGCAUAAGUGUCUUGGUGAUUCAGAGUUCCUCACUCUCCUGGUAUUUCCGGUUCCCAUUUCCGGUUCCCAUUUCCGGUUCCCAUUUCCGGUUCCCAUUUCCGGUUCCCAUUUCCGGUAAGGUACUUCAAGGCUUUGCUCAUGGUGAUGAGGUGAACAUCUCAAGGCUAAUUUAUUUAUAGUCUUAGAGCAGCGCUAGUGGCGCUUACAUUGUGGCGAUUUGGCGAGGGAGAUCGCAUCAGUGAUUGCAACAUUUAGCCGCUGGCUGAAUGAUAUGUAUAUUUAUAUCGAGCCAAAGUACCUGUGAGUAAUCAUACCACUUUGUGUCUGGUGUUUUGUUCAACCCAGUGGUAAGUGCACCCCUCCCUUUUUCACACUGGGACUUGUUAGAUUUAGGUUGACACUCUGAUCUUUGUGUUAAGGUGAGAGUGGGGAGUUAAGCAUCUAAGUCUUCUCCAAGACAAAUACCUAGCCAAAGAUGCUACAUGUGACGCUGCUGCUAUUUUGUUUUACUUUAGUUUUGGGCUUAUGUUUUGUAACUACAUGCAGUCUGAGAGGCUUAGUCGUAAAUUAGUGUUUUCCAGCCUCAAACCUGUUUCAGGUUUGUUGUUCCACACAACCAUCUUACUAUUGAGAGGGUGUAUGUUAAGCCUUAUUGUCUCCAUGCUAUAGUUGCUAUAUUUUUCAUUUGUAAUGUCUACCAUAAUUCUGGUUUUCCUUAGGUGCUGUUAACUACCUCUAUUUCAUGUGGUGGUGUUAAUGGGCCUGAGUGAAAUAGUCACCACCCCAUGGUGUCUGUAAUUUGCUUCUUUUUGUUUAUUGUUUAGUGUCUGUGUAACUUUUGAUUAACUGGUGUUUGCUUUCUCUCCAGGAGCCAGUGAGUCUUGGUGGGACAGGGGAGGCUAGCUGCAUUUAUUCGGUAGUGUGUGCUUCACAGCAUGAUCAGUGUGCCAACACCACAACUUCCUUAUGGUGUGGGUAGUGUUUGGUGAUUUUGGUGUGACUUGCAGUGGGUUUGGAUGACCUCCUGAGUUGUAGCUAGCCUGCCUUGUCCCUGCCAAGCCUGGGCCUGGAGAAGUGGUUAGUUUAAAAAUCCUUAUUGUGCUUCAUGGGAGAGCGAUUUUAUACUUGUAUGUUAUGUUUUAAUGAUGCUUAAGUGUCAUAAUAAAAUGUAUUUUUAUAUUCAUACUUGCGUCUCACUCUCAUGUUCCUUGCCCUGAUUGGUAAAACUUGUGUGCCUUUAUUUGGGAGUAUUUCCCUGGUUCUCCCCCUGGGUGGCAUAGUUCCAUUUACUAAAUUUGGGAUAAACGUUUCCCUCCACUUGGGAACACCACAUUUUGGUGUAGCUGGCAGGAUAAAUGUCUCCCUCCACUUGGGAAUGCCACAUUUUGACGUAGUCGGCAGGAUUUACCUGGUAAGGCAAGGAUUCAUGUAGAUGAGAUGUGGGUUUAACUGUUUGAUUUAAUAUUGGUUGUGGUUUGUUUUCUGUUUUUUUCAGAAGCAAAACAGCAGUGUGCGUUUGACCUUUUGGGGACUCUCUGUUGUCCUGUUCCAUUGUGGGGGCAGUCUUGCCUGGCUCAAUAUGGCGGACAUGUUGACAUAUCGCAGCAACGGGCCAAUGCGGUGUCUAUAACUGCGUGUUAAUGCCCACUGGAAUUGGCACAUAUACAGUAGAACAUAGAAAAGCAUCAAUCUUUCCAUCCUCCAUACUGCUCAUCCUACACAGGGUCACCGGGGAGCUUGGAGCCCAUCCCAGGGAACUCUAUGGACAAUUUGGAAAUGCCAAUCAGCCUACAGCACACAUCAUUAGACUGGGAGAGGAAAUCGGACUGCCUGGAGGAAGCCGCCAAGACAUGGGGAGAACAUGCAGGCUCUGCACAUAUGGGAUGGAGGUGCAGAGCAAAAAAAUAAUAAUGCUGGUCUAUUUGUAAACCUAAUUUCUCCAAUGAACCAGAAGAGAGGAGCUCAGAAGAGACAGCAUCGUCAUCAUGGGACAUGAACUACACUUUCUUAAAGUUAGCUGUUGCUAUAGCAAAUGGGUGCUUACAGCAUACAGUAUCCUUAAAACAAUGAGCUUUAAAUCUUGUUCUUUAAAUUGUGGGCAUUUUCAUUGCACUCACAACUUACAAUUUCAUGAAUUCCUUUUACUAUCUGAUGGUCACAUUACAUUGUGCUAAAAAUAUCUGCACUAUAUUGCCAAAAGUAUGUGGGCACCUGACCCUCAUGCGCAACACACCCACCAUACCCAUCAUACGCUCCAUAGUCAAGAAAGCCCAGUGUAGCGGUUAUGGAAAGUAUUCCAUACAUUUAAUGUGUAGAAUUACACAAAAGGAAAUGUGUACCUGAUGUAGCUGUCUACUUGUGUGAGUACUUUCCCUUUUAAUUGUCAUGAUGUCAUUGGUUCAUGUAAUUUCCUGUUUUGGCUCCUCCUCUUCACUUUCGCAUUAUGGUUGAAUGGGAGAGGUAGGUUUAAUUUUGAGUCCUGUUUCAUCUUUAUUUAAAUCAUCAUUUAUAUACGUAUGUACUCAUUUUGUUUUGUGUGUAUGGUGUUAUUUUGCUUGCCUGUGUGAUUAUUUUUGUUGUUUUGCCCUUUUGUAUUAUGGUUGAAUGGGAGAGGAGAGAGAGGGAAUAAAUGAAGAGUCGACCCAAUUGCCGUCCGCCUAUUUUUUUCUUUGGAUAAAAUAAAACACACAAUGCAGACUACAACCAGUUACACCAGCACCGUCUCUACUUUCUGCGAAGGCUGAAGAAAGCCCAUCUACCACCUCCCAUCCUCACCACGUUCUACAGAGGAACUAUUGAGGGCAUCCUGAGCAGUUGCAUCACUGUCUGGUUCGGAAAUUGCACCUCAUUGGAUCACAAGACCCUGCAGCGAAUAGUGAAGACAGCUGAGACGAUCAUCGGGGUCUCUCCCCCCAUCACAGACACCACACGCUGCAUCCACAAAGCCACCAGCAUUGUGGAGGACCUCACACACCCCUCACACACACUCUUCACCCUCCUGCCGUCUGGAAAAAGGUACCGAAGCAUUCGGGCCCUCACGGCCAGACUGUGUAACAGCUUCUUCCCCCAAGCCAUCAGACUCCUCAACACUGAAAGACUGGACUGAUACACAUGUGCACACACACACACACACACACACACACACACACACACACUGAACUGAACACCAUCCCACUCCCAUUGAAAUAUUUGCACAUUUCUGCAUUGACACUGUUGCAUUUUUUGCUUCUACUGUGUUAUAAAAAGUAUAGUAUUUAAUUUCUUGUCACUAUUACUCACUUUACCUGACUCCUACUGCAAUAACUGCUACAUCCAUAUUUGGUAUAAGCUAAUUUGCUGAAUACUCAGUCAUAGCAUGUUUUGUUUACAUUGAUACCAUUUUAAAAUUAUAUUAUUAUUCCUUGGCACCUGUCUUUUGCACUACCUUUUAUAUCAGACACUUUGUACUGUUUGGCGCUACACUGUCACUUACUGUGCCUAUUGUACUGUUUUAGUAGUAUUGUACUAUCCUGUGUUUUUAGCACAAGUCUGCACGUACACUUUUAGCACAAGUCUGCAUGUACACUUUAUGUAGAAUGUUUGUAGAUAUUAUUUAGUUCUAUGUCGUCUCAUGUGGUUAGUGUGUUGUUUUAUGUAGCACCAUGGUCCUAGAGGAACGUUGUUUCGUUUCACUGUGUACUGUACAAAAUGUAUAUGGUUGAAAUCACAAUAAAACCACUUGAACUUGAA